GUUGUCGUGGUCGAGUUGUGAAGGCGAUAUACUUCAAAUCUUUAGGGAUCUUUCCGCGCAGGUUCGAAUCCUGCCGACAACG
rnacentral:tRNA from 1 species